rnacentral:rRNA from 1 species
UACGUAGGGUGCAAGCGUUGUCCGGAAUUAUUGGGCGUAAAGAGCUCGUAGGCGGUUUGUCGCGUCUGGUGUGAAAAUCCAGGGCUUAACCCUGGACCUGCAGUGGGUACGGGCAGACUGGAGUGCGGUAGGGGAGAUCGGAAUUCCUGGUGUAGCGGUGAAAUGCGCAGAUAUCGGGAGGAACACCUAUGGCGAAGGCAGCUCGCUGGGACGUUACUGACGCUGAGACGCGAAAGCGUGGGGAGCAAACAGG